AACAGACCCUGAGAAGAACUCCAAAGUGGGCAUCGUAACCUAGCAACAGUGACCAUCCUAGGAAGAAUAGCACCCCAGGAACCCAGAUUAUGUUCUGUAAGUACUAUUCUCCACGGAAAGGAAACAGCUCAUUCUAGUCUGGGGCAGCAAAGGUACGGGAUGAACCUGGAACAUCCUGUCAUACCAGAAAGCGAGGAACAUAUUGAAGACCACUGUGCUCAUAUCAGAGGACUCAGGCACUUGCCUGGAGAGGCUGAGCUUUGCUCAUAGGAAGAGAUGGGGAGAGCAGAAAAGCAGCAAGCCAAGCAUGCUGGGUUCCC
rnacentral:lncRNA from 10 species